ensembl:lncRNA
UCAGCUGAGGUGGCUUGGGCAUCUUUUUCGGAUGCCUUCCUGGAUGCCUUCCUGGGAAGGUGUUCUGGUCCCGUCCCACCGGGAGGAGACCCCGGGGAAGACCUAGGACACGCUGGAGGGACUAUGUCUCCCAGCUGGCCUGGGAACGCCUCGGUGUCCCCCCGGAAGAGCUAGAGGAAGUGUCUGGGGAGAGGGAAGUCUGGGCAUCCCUGCUUAGACUGCUGCCCCCGCGACCCGGCCCCGGAUAAGCGGAAGAAGAUGACAACUACAAAGACGCCAUCAGGCUAAUGUACCAAUAUGAGACCGGCUGCAACACCUCUGAGCUACAGUCUGAGGCAGAGCAGGAGUGGGAGCUGCCAGAGAAACAAGUCAGGAAGCCAAUCCAUGACCUUCCAACUCGGCUGGUGUAUCAGUUGGAGCCUCAAGCCCAAACCAGUUACACUGGCAGACUCCACCAUCUCACCGAGUGCCAGGCAGCAGAGUCACUACUCCUCAACCUGGAGGAAACUGUCUAGCACCUGACCAUGGGGCCAGACUGCAACACCCUUCACCACCUCAACUCCCUGCACCUGCAUUUAACAUGAGGAGUGUUACUCAAGGUGCUGUGAGGAAAAACACAAUGACACGGUCAGCCACGGACGCAGAGGUCACCAAGCAUGCAAUCAGGUGGUUCAACUUGGCAGCGGAUCGGGCAACGAGGAGACGUGUCCCGCCUCAAGCCACACAAACGGAGUAAUAGGAGAA